rnacentral:rRNA from 1 species
GACGAACGCUGGCGGCGUGCCUAAUACAUGCAAGUAGAACGCUGAAGGCGGAGCUUGCUUCUCUGGAUGAGUUGCGAACGGGUGAGUAACGCGUAGGUAACCUGCCUGGUAGCGGGGGAUAACUAUUGGAAACGAUAGCUAAUACCGCAUAAUAGUAGAUGUUGCAUGACAUUUGCUUAAAAGGUGCAAUUGCAUCACUACCAGAUGGACCUGCGUUGUAUUAGCUAGUUGGUGGGGUAACGGCUCACCAAGGCGACGAUACAUAGCCGACCUGAGAGGGUGAUCGGCCAGACUGGGAGUGAGACAGGGCCCAGAGGCCUACGGGAGGGAGCAGGAGGGAAUGUUCGGCAAUGGACGGAAGUCUGACCGAGCAACGCCGCGGGAGGGAAGAAGGUUUUCGGAUCGUAAAGCUCUGUUGUAAGAGAAGAACGAGUGUGAGAGUGGAAAGUUCACACUGUGACGGUAUCUUACCAGAAAGGGACGGCUAACUACGUG